AGAGUUUGAUCCUGGCUCAGGACGAACGCUAGCGGCGUGCCUAAGGUAUGCAAGUCGAACGGGAGGGGCAACCCUCGAGUGGCGAACGGUCGAGUAACACGUAGACAACCUGCCUUCAGGUGGGGGAUAACAGCGGGAAACUGCUGCUAAUACCGCAUGUGGCAGAGGAGGGAUCCUCUUCUUGCUAAAGGGGCAACUCGCCUGGAGAUGGGUCUGUGGCCUAUCAGCUGGUUGGUGAGGUAACGGCCCACCAAGGCGAUGACGGGUAGCUGACGUGAGAGCGUGACCAGCCACACUGGGACUGAGACACGGCCCAGACUCCUACGGGAGGCAGCAGUAGGGAAUCUUGCUUAAUGGGCGCAAGCCUGAAGCAGCGACGCCGCGUGAGGGAUGAAGGCCUUCGGGUUGUAAACCUCUUUCAGCGGGGACGAAGCCUCACGGUGACGGUACCCGCAGAAGAAGGUCCGGCCAACUACGUGCCAGCAGCCGCGGUAAUACGGAGGGUGCGAGCGUUAAUCGGAAUUACUGGGCGUAAAGGGCGCGUAGGCGGUUAGGUAAGUCGAGUGUGAAAGCCCUGGGCUUAACCUGGGAAUGGCAUUCGAGACUACCUAGCUAGAGUCUGGUAGAGGGAAGUGGAAUUUCCGGUGUAGCGGUGAAAUGUGUAGAUAUCGGAAGGAACACCAGUGGCGAAGGCGACUUCCUGGACCAAGACUGACGCUGAGGCGCGAAAGCGUGGGGAUCAAACAGGAUUAGAUACCCCGGUAGUCC
rnacentral:rRNA from 1 species